ACGGGGGCAGCAGUGGGGGAUAUUGCACAAUGGGGGAAACCCUGAUGCAGCGACGCCGCGUGAGUGAUGAAGUAUUUCGGUAUGUAAAGCUCUAUCAGCAGGGAAGAUAAUGACGGUACCUGACUAAGAAGCACCGGCUAAAUACGUGCCAGCAGCCGCGGUAAUACGUAUGGUGCAAGCGUUAUCCGGAUUUACUGGGUGUAAAGGGAGCGUAGACGGCAAGGCAAGCCAGAUGUGAAAGGCUGGGGCUCAACCCCGGGACUGCAUUUGGAACUGUCUAGCUAGAGUAUCGGAGAGGUAAGUGGAAUUCCUAGUGUAGCGGUGAAAUGCGUAGAUAUUAGGAGGAACACCAGUGGCGAAGGCGGCUUACUGGACGAUAACUGACGUUGAGGCUCGAAAGCGUGGGGAGCAAACAGGAUUAGAUACCCUGGUA
rnacentral:rRNA from 1 species